rnacentral:misc_RNA from 1 species
GUUGAAGAACGUAGUGAAAUGCGAUAAGUAGUGUGAAUUGCAGAAUUCAGUGAAUCAUCGAAUCUUUGAACGCACAUUGCGCCCUGUGGUAUUCCGCAGGGCAUCCCUGUUCGAGCGUCAUUGACACCCUCAAGCUCUGCUUGGUCUUGGGCGUUUGUGCCUGCCGUUGCGCAGGGACUCGCCUCAAACUCAUUGGCAGCCUGCCUUUGCCGGUCUUUGCACAGCACAGUCGUGCCAAAGCCGCGGUGAGCAGGCGCUCCACAAGCCCUUUUCAGCUUGACCUCGGAUCAGGUAGGAAUACCCGCUGAACUUAAGCAUAUCAAUAAGCGGAGGA